CUUUCCCAUGCUGUUAUUGUGAUGGUGAAUGGGUCUCAUGAGGUCUGAUGGUUUUAAAAAACAAGAGUUCCUCUGCAAGAGCACUUUCUUUGCCUGCUGCCAUCCAUGUAAGAUGUGACUUGCUCCUCCUUGCCUUCUGCCAUGAUUGUGAUGACUUCCCAGCCACGUGGAACUCAUCUCUCAGUUUGGCCUGUUACAGAAGACUACAGAUAUGAUCAUGGAUAAACCCAACGAAAAUCAGUAUCUGACAAUAUGUAAAAUGACAUGGUAGUGUCAUUAAAUUGAGACCUGAAAUUGUGGAUCAGUUUAACCCAGAGUCACAGUUAGGCAAACCACAAAGCAAUCUAAGAGGAGAUCACAGCAUAACAGCAUUGCACCACUUAUGUGGCUAUUAAGGACCCUGCAUCAAACAACAAAAAGAUUACUUUUUUUUGUUCAAAUCCAUUUAUCUGUUUAUUUAAGCAGGAAAACAAAUGUAAUACAUCUUAGAGUGCCACCUAAAAUAGUUAAAUGUUCCAAUGUUUUAGUACUUAAAGGGGAAAAUUCCAUGAUCCUCAAUACCACCAGGUCAAUGAGGCUUUCGUGUUCACUGGAAGUACUCUAUGUGCCAAGCUUAUGUAGAGAAUAAUUUAAUUGAAUUAAAAAAUGUGCUAUCAAUGAACUAUUUUAUACAAGACAUGAACUAGAGGCUGAGGUCAGGGAAGGUAUUGCAAAUGACAAAGGCAUAAACUCUGUGCUGUAGUCAUGGAGAGAAGCAAGGAAACAGGUAACUAGUUCAAGGAAGAUGGUGAGAAAUGCUGGCAAAACGAGAUUAUAUGUAAUGACAAGAAGUGGGACAAAGGAAGGGUUCUGCAUUUGGCCUAGGGGAGAUUUGGCAAGGCCCCUGGGACUGGCUAACAUUUGAGCAGAUCCUGAAGAAUUUAGCAGGUGAAAGGUAGAGCAAAGUGAUAGAAGUAUAUAGUAAAUUUAAACAAAGGCAAGUAUUCUGGUGUAUCUAGAGAGUGACGGAUUAUGGUAAGAGAUAAGGCAGGAAAGAUAAUUGAAGAUGGCCUUGAGUUAAAAGAUGAGUUUUUAAUUUUGUCCUACUGGCAAUGGGUAGCCAUUGCCAAUUUAAGCAAGAGAAUGAUAUAAGUAAAGUUUUUUUAAUACAUAUA
rnacentral:lncRNA from 10 species